GAUGAACGCUGGCGGCGUGCCUAAUACAUGCGAGUCGAGCGAACGGACGAGAAGCUUGCUUCUCUGAUGUUAGCGGCGGACGGGUGAGUAACACGUGGAUAACCUACCUAUAAGACUGGGAUAACUUCGGGAAACCGGAGCUAAUACCGGAUAAUAUUUUGAACCGCAUGGUUCAAAAGUGAAAGACGGUCUUGCUGUCACUUAUAGAUGGAUCCGCGCUGCAUUAGCUAGUUGGUAAGGUAACGGCUUACCAAGGCAACGAUGCAUAGCCGACCUGAGAGGGUGAUCGGCCACACUGGAACUGAGACACGGUCCAGACUCCUACGGGAGGCAGCAGUAGGGAAUCUUCCGCAAUGGGCGAAAGCCUGACGGAGCAACGCCGCGUGAGUGAUGAAGGUCUUCGGAUCGUAAAACUCUGUUAUCAGGGAAGAACAUAUGUGUAAGUAACUGUGCACAUCUUGACGGUACCUAAUCAGAAAGCCACGGCUAACUACGUGCCAGCAGCCGCGGUAAUACGUAGGUGGCAAGCGUUAUCCGGAAUUAUUGGGCGUAAAGCGCGCGUAGGCGGUUUUUUAGUCUGAUGUGAAAGCCCACGGCUCAACCGUGGAGGGUCAUUGGAAACUGGAAAACUUGAGUGCAGAAGAGGAAAGUGGAAUUCCAUGUGUAGCGGUGAAAUGCGCAGAGAUAUGGAGGAACACUAGUGGCGAAGGCGACUUUCUGGUCUGUAACUGACGCUGAUGUGCGAAAGCGUGGGGAUCAAACAGGAUUAGAUACCCUGGUAGUCCACGCCGUAAACGAUGAGUGCUAAGUGUUAGGGGGUUUCCGCCCCUUAGUGCUGCAGCUAACGCAUUAAGCACUCCGCCUGGGGAGUACGACCGCAAGGUUGAAACUCAAAGGAAUUGACGGGGACCCGCACAAGCGGUGGAGCAUGUGGUUUAAUUCGAAGCAACGCGAAGAACCUUACCAAAUCUUGACAUCCUUUGACAACUCUAGAGAUAGAGCUUUCCCCUUCGGGGGACAAAGUGACAGGUGGUGCAUGGUUGUCGUCAGCUCGUGUCGUGAGAUGUUGGGUUAAGUCCCGCAACGAGCGCAACCCUUAAGCUUAGUUGCCAUCAUUAAGUUGGGCACUCUAAGUUGACUGCCGGUGACAAACCGGAGGAAGGUGGGGAUGACGUCAAAUCAUCAUGCCCCUUAUGAUUUGGGCUACACACGUGCUACAAUGGACAAUACAAAGGGCAGCGAAACCGCGAGGUCAAGCAAAUCCCAUAAAGUUGUUCUCAGUUCGGAUUGUAGUCUGCAACUCGACUACAUGAAGCUGGAAUCGCUAGUAAUCGUAGAUCAGCAUGCUACGGUGAAUACGUUCCCGGGUCU
rnacentral:rRNA from 1 species